AUUUUUAUAUUCAAGUAUUGUUUAACUAUCUAAAAAAUAAAAUAUUAGGAAUACUCCCAGGCACGAUAAUCGAGAUAGCUCUUUUCACCAUACUUUCCAACGCCGGUGGAGCUUUGGCUCGCCGGCGUCGGGAUAUCUUUAGCUUUUCCCGACUCCUUUACAAUUCUCAACGAGCUUUCUUCCUCCUAGUUCUUCUGUUACCUUGGAACUCCUCCUUCCCUGCACCUUGCUUCCACAAAGCUCCAUUGCAUGACGAGACGAUAAAGAGUCUUCCGUUCUCGUCGCUUCUUAUCUCUACCGGAUCCCCUCGAAGUCAAAUAUGUCAUCUCCCUUGGUUUGGAGCUCUGCCUUGACACCGGAGCCGGUGAUGAUUUUUACGGCGGAAGGAUUAUCCCUUACCUUGCCAAGUUUCCGUCCCACCGCCCCCUCUCCAUACAACCGCACCGGCACUCUCAGCACCUCCCCAACUGAAGCAACUCUAGGGUUUCACUUGUUGGGCCUUUCUUUAUGCUGCGGCCCACUACCUUUGUCUCAGUCCAUUGCCAAAAAUCGCAGCCCACCUACAUUUCACUACAGGGCCAGGUUUGAUGACUUCAUUUCAUCUCCAAGCCCAUUUAUUACUUUGUUCUGUUUUCACGGCUUGAUCAACCGAAGACUUUGUUCAUGCCCUGAAGCGACAAACAAUACAAGGUGCUUUGAGCAUUCUUUUCAAAACCUGUUGUUAAACUGCCCUUUGACUUAAGUCUAUGAAACUUUAAGUGGGGAAACCAUCGAUGAACAUUUGUUUUUGAAGGCUCUUUCACUA